UUAAGUUCAGCGGGUAGUCUCACCCGAUUUGAGGUCAAGGUUUUCUUUCGUGGGUCCAGCCCUCCCCCGCCAAUGUAGACGGCGACGACCGGAGCACCAUCGUUUGUCCGUUGGACAGUUAGGAGCAGGAAUCCAAAGGGACAGUGCUAAAUCCAAAACGUAGAAACAUCUUAUCACGUCAAGGACCAGCAAAGCGGACC
rnacentral:misc_RNA from 1 species